UUCCUACUCCCUCCGUCCGAAAAUACUUGUCAUCAAAAUGAAUAAAAGGGGAUGUAUCUAUGGAUAAAAAAGGGUGUAUCUAAAACUAAAAUAUGUCUAUAUACAUCCCUUUUUAUUCAUUUUGAUGACAAGUAUUUCGGGACGGAGGGAGUAUAAA
rfam:Triticum aestivum genome assembly, contig: Triticum_aestivum_CS42_TGACv1_scaffold_051127_1BS